rnacentral:tRNA from 1 species
GGGCGGUUAGCUCAGUCGGGAGAGCGCCGCCUUCACACGGCGGAGGUCACUGGUUCGAUCCCAGUACCGCCCA